UAUUUUAUUUGCUAAUUUUUGCGACUUCUAUUGUUUAAUGUAAAUUUUAUGUAUUUUUAGGAUAUGUUGAGGCGCAGUUUGAAAAUGAAGUUAUUAGUAUGAAGUAGCAGCGCAGGCACAUUUGGAAAAUUAUGCCGAUAAGCAAGAUGGAAUUAGGGAAAAAAUGUUAUAAAUCCAGUGGCGUUAUUUAAGAUGUGCUCCAAACAUUUGGCGAAAUUUUUUUCAUCACCACGUUUACCACCACGGCCGGUAAGAAGCCCGAAGCAAAGGGCAAACAACCUUCCAGGAAGCUGCCUGCUGUCCCAGAGUCGUAGCUGAAGUUCAGCAAGAAGCAGGUCAGCAAACGUGCUACCCUGAUAAAGCGUAAAUUAAAGCGCUCUGCUGUGAAAACUUGGUGCAUGCUGAGAAAUAUCAAGCAAAAUAUCUCCGUGAUGGACGACGUGAGAAUACGUUGCGCCGUCUGGCAAAGAAACGCGGCCCAUUCUACGUGCCUGCAGAAGACAAAUUGGCUUUUGUGAUCUGUACCGCGGUAUCAACAAAGUUGCACCAAAAGUGCGUAAAGUUUUACUGUUGUUCCGUUUUCGCCACAUUAACCACGGUUUGUUCAUCAAAUAUAACCAUUAAUAUGCUACGCAUUGCCGAACUCUAUGGGGGUUCCAUGGGGUUAUCCAAAUCUUAAAUCAGUUCGUGAAUUGUUCUGCAAACAUGGAAUUGUCAAGCACAACCAUCAACGUGUCUCAAUCUCUGACAACUUUGUGAGCGAACGCAAAUUGCGCAAAGCCCACGAUAUUCAGUGCGUUGAUUAUUUGGCGCACGAAAUAUUCACGGUUGGAUCCCACUUCAAGAAAGCCUCCAACUUCCUCUGGCUAUUCAAGCUCAACACCAACCGCCGGCUGGCGCAAGAGGGCUAAUCACAACGUUGAGGUUGGUGAUUUCGGUAAUCGUGAAGAUAAGAUCAACAAACUGCUGCGCAAGAUGGUUUCAAGAAAUUUACAAGGUUUAAACCGCAAAUAUGCCAAACGGAAGGCAGCUUAUAUUCGCGAUUCCUUGAAUAGUGUCGAAAUUCCAUUGCCGUUUCUAAAGGCCAUUUCAAAAGGCUCCAAUCCACAAAUUUAAUUAUUUGUUUUGGGUUUUCAGCUCAUAAAUGAUGCAACCAGGGUUGCAUUUACCGUCUAUGAAAACAUUUUAUAAAGCGUUCCAAAAUUAGC